rnacentral:rRNA from 1 species
UGGGGAAUAUUGCACAAUGGAGGAAACUCUGAUGCAGCGACGCCGCGUGAAUGAUGAAGGCCUUCGGGUCGUAAAAUUCUGUCCUUGGGGAAGAUAAUGACGGUACCCAAGGAGGAAGCCCCGGCUAACUACGUGCCAGCAGCCGCGGUAAUACGUAGGGGGCGAGCGUUGUCCGGAAUUAUUGGGCGUAAAGGGUUCGCAGGCGGUCUGAUAAGUCAGAUGUGAAAGGCAAUGGCUCAACCAUUGUAAGCAUUUGAAACUGUCAGACUUGAGUUAAGGAGAGGAAAGUGGAAUUCCUAGUGUAGCGGUGAAAUGCGUAGAUAUUAGGAGGAAUACCAGUGGCGAAGGCGACUUUCUGGACUUAUACUGACGCUGAGGAACGAAAGCGUGGGGAGCAAACAGGAUUAGAUACCCCGCGUAGUC